AGCAGCCGCGGUAAUUCCAGCUCCAAUAGCGUAUAUUAAAGUUGUUGCAGUUAAAAAGCUCGUAGUUGAAUUUCGGGAUUAAUAUGUUGGUCGUGCCUUGGUACGUACUGGCAUUAUUGGUUCCUACCUUCUGAAGAACCUCGAUGUCAUUAAUUUGGUGUCUUGGGGAAUCAGGACUGUUACUUUGAAAAAAUUAGAGUGUUUAAAGCAGGCUCGCGCUUGAAUACAUUAGCAUGGAAUAAUGAAAUAGGACGUUUGAUUCUAUUUUGUUGGUUUCUAGGAUCGACGUAAUGAUUAAUAGGGAUAGUUGGGGGCAUUAGUAUUCAAUUGUCAGAGGUGAAAUUCUUGGAUUUAUUGAAGACUGACUACUGCGAAAGCAUUUGCCAAGGAUGUUUUCAUUAAUCAAGAACGAAAGUUAGGGGAUCGAAGACGAUCAGAUACCGUCGUAGUCUUAACCAUAAACUAUGCCGACUAGGGAUCGGAUGAUGUUAAUUUUUUAAUGACUCAUUCGGCGCCUUAC
rnacentral:misc_RNA from 1 species